GCCCGUUUGGCUUAGGGGUACAGCGUCUCACUCGUAUGUAUUACGCAUGACAUGAGAAGAUCCUCGGUUCGAUUCCGAGAAUGGGCA